UGCGAAGGGGGCUAGCGUUGUUCGGAAUCACUGGGCGUAAAGCGCACGUAGGCGGAUCUUUAAGUCAGGGGUGAAAUCCCGAGGCUCAACCUCGGAACUGCCUUUGAUACUGGGGAUCUCGAGUCCGGGAGAGGUGAGUGGAACUGCGAGUGUAGAGGUGAAAUUCGUAGAUAUUCGCAAGAACACCAGUGGCGAAGGCGGCUCACUGGCCCGGAACUGACGCUGAGGUGCGAAAGCGUGGGGAGCGAACAGG
rnacentral:rRNA from 1 species